AUGGCUGAGCAGGUCCUGUAUGAGUCACAGAGGCACUAUGGCCACCAUGCAAGAAACAUUGAUCCUGUAGACGCAAUCCUGCUACUCAUAAGCCUCAUCAUCCUGGUCAACCUUGGAAUCAAUGUGAUGAUUCUGAUCUGUCGCAGUCUCUUGAGGUCCCUACACGGAACAUUUGUUUUCUUUCGAAAUGAAGGUAAGUUUUCCAAGAAGCCCCAGAAUUCUGAUAAGAAGCCAUCAGGGUUCCCAACUCUGUGCAUCCACUGUACCUUGGACCCCGUGGCUCUAAACGUGGCCCACACUGCACUCAACCGACGUCGUCGAGACCCUCAGAAUUCGGGAAGUGGCCAAGGCAGUUAUAAGGGAAGCUGCCGGGGCCGCCGGGAGCGUGCCCGCCAAUACUAUCUUCAACACCGUCACCAACCUCGGAUAUGCAUGCCCCAAUCCCCUCCCUCAUCUGCACCCCAACCCACUGCCUUCUGUUGCCAAGAAACCUGGGACACAGAUUUAGACGACUGUAAAGAUUCCCAGAACCCACAGUCCAACUACCAGCAGAGUUGGAACACAACCCAUCCACCUGGAAACGUCAGGCAUUACAGGCAGUGCUGGAGGAGUUACUAUCCAGAGGGAUCUAACCUCCCUCCUCAAGACCAGAGGGCUCCCAGAAGGGUGGAAGCAAAGUCUGAGUUGAGAUUCCAGAACCAUGAACCACAAAACUACCUUGCUUCUGCCCCAAAUGAGAACCAGAUCCCUGAGGUCUCCCAGCCCUCAACCUCUGUCUCAGCACGUGUCCCAGCCUCUGAACCAUGCCAUGUACCUGCCUUCACCCCCCUUAGCAGGAACCCAGGGGGCAUCACCAACUGCCAAGUAUAUGAUAGCCUGGAGCUGAAGCGGCAAAUUCAGGAAGGACGAGGGCGACGAGGGACUGUGUACAUCUACUGGGUUGUAGGAGAAGGUGUUCUCAGGCCUGAUUAUUCCCUGUAGGAAGACCUAAAAUCUAGAUCAUUCAAGAUUAAGUUAUAACAGAAACCAGAAGACCUCUCCCCAACCACCCCACUAUUAAUUUAGAUGCUGACUCUGGCACCCAAACCUGGGUAAGCCACCAAAUCUAAUACUGGUUUAAGAACUUAAUGCAGCAUAACUUAAUAAAUACUACAUAGAGAGGCA
ensembl:lncRNA